rnacentral:rRNA from 1 species
UACGAAGGGGGCUAGCGUUGUUCGGAAUUACUGGGCGUAAAGCGCGCGCAGGCGGUCUUCCAAGUCAGUGGUGAAAGCCCGGAGCUCAACUCCGGAACUGCCAUUGAAACUGUAAGACUUGAGGACGAGAGAGGUGAGUGGAAUUCCCAGUGUAGAGGUGAAAUUCGUAGAUAUUGGGAAGAACACCAGUGGCGAAGGCGGCCCACUGGCUCGUAUCUGACGCUCAGGCGCGACAGCGUGGGGAGUCAAACAGG